CCCAACCAACAAUCCACCACUAACCUAAAUGACCCAAACCACCAGUCUAAUACUAACCCCAUUUCCAUAAACCAGUCCACCACUAACCUAAACCCAACCCAGCAAUCAACCACUAACGCUAGCCGAACUCAACAACCAACCAGUAGCAUAAACCCAACCUACCAGUCAACCACUACCUAUAGCCGAAUCCAACAGCCAACCAUUAGUCUAAACUCAACCCACCAGUCAACCGCUAGCCCUACCCGAUUUCAACAGCCAACCAUUAGGCUAAACCCAACCCACCAAUCCACCAGUAGCCCUAGCCGAACCCAACAGGCAACCACUAACCUAAACCUAACCCGCCAGUCAACCACUAACCCAAACCGCCCCCAACAAGCGAUCACCAACCCUAGCCGAACCCAUCUUUCUCCCCCAAACUCCAUCCAUCAAUCCAGCGCUAAUCCAACUUACAUCUCGUCCU
rnacentral:lncRNA from 1 species